UGGCUCCAGACCCGGAAGUGCUAGUGGGAGGGCAGCGGAAAGUCUGAGCCCUCCCCUAGCAACCGCUGCAGAGCGCCCUUAGCAGCGGCGGCCAUGCCGGUCUGGGUGCGGGAUUACAGCUGGCGGCAGACGGACACUGCUGUUUUUCUCUCCCUGCCGAUGCGGGGUGCCCGGGUCACCCAGGCAAACAUCUUCUGCACUGACCAGUAUCUGAAGGUAAAUGUUCCUCCAUUUUUAUUUGAAGCCAUUCUGUAUGCUCCUGUUGAUGACACUAGUAGUACAGCAAAGAUCAGAAAUGAGACCAUUUUCUUCACUUUAUAUAAAAAAGAAGUGGCCAUGUGGGAAUCCCUGGUUAUGGAAAAUGGUGACAAAGAGAAAAUGCAGAGAAUAAGAGAGAAUGCUGUCAUAAAAGCCCAAGAGAAGGCAGAUGAAGAGGAAAAAUCAAAAGCUGUUACAAAACGAGAACAUAAAAAAUUUGCUCUGGAGGCCACAAUGAAGCUAGAAGAAGCAGAGAGAAAAAGAAUUGAAAAUCUGAAAGAAGAGGAGCGAAAGAAGGUCACUGAGGAGCUGGAGAUAUGGAAAGAAAAGCAGAGAAAUGAGGAGAAACAAAGAAGGAUACAAAGAGAAGAGGAAAUACGUAGAGAAAGGAAACUAAUAGAGGAGAAGAAAAAGCAAGAAAUAAAUAAAACUCUAAAGGCAGGAACUUCCAAGGCCAGAAGUAUACCUACAAAAGCUGGAAGUUCUGGAAAUAUAUUUUCAGAGAAGUUAAAAGAAGAAUCUUUCCCUGCUCCUCGAUCUGCUGGUACUAUUAAAAUUAGUUUCACAUCUCGGGUGUUUCCUACAGCUCUCAGAGAAUCCAGAGUAGCAGAAGAGGAAGAGUGGCUGCAUAAGCAAGCAGAGGCUCGUAGAGCAAUGAAUGCUAAUUUUUCUGAGCUGAAGGAUUUAAAUGAGGAGGAGAAGAACCCAGACUGGUUGAAAGACAAAGGAAACAAAAUGUUUGCAACAGGAAACUAUCUUGCAGCUGUAAAUGCCUAUAACCUGGCAAUUCUGUUAAAUAAUAAGAUUCCAGUACUAUAUCUGAAUCGUGCUGCUUGUCACCUUAAAUUGAGAAACUUGCACAAGACCAUUGAAGAUUCAUCUAAGGCACUAGAAUUGCUGAUACCACCUGUUCCAGACAAUGCUGAUGCUAGAGUGAAAGCUUACGUGAGGCGUGGGACAGCAUUUUGUCAGCUGGAAUUGUAUGCUGAAGGUCUCCAGGAUUAUGAAGCUGCUCUCAAGAUCGAUCCUACAAAUAAAACUUUAGAACAAGAUGCUGAGAAGAUUCAACAUAUAAUUCAUGGAACUGCACAAGAUUCUUAACAAAGUCUAGAAUCAGCAUGGUGGUGUAUUUAACAGACAGGAAUCAGGAAAACACUUAUUUCAAAUUCUGCCUAAACCAGUGAAGCCACCAGACAUUUUGUUGCUGCACUCAUCCCAGUUAUAAAAUUGGGUAAAAGAGAAGUUACUUCUCAUAAGAACUACUAUAAUUUAGGGCUGUACAUGGGGAAAACUACAUUGAUGUUAAGGAUAGAUGGCAUCCCCUCUUCAGCAACUCAGAGGCAGUGUGCAUAGC